rfam:Gossypium raimondii chromosome 1, whole genome shotgun sequence.
AGGGAUAUAACUCUGCGGUAGAGUGUCACCUUGACGCGGAGGUGGUCAUCAGUUCGAGUCAGAUUAUCCCUA